rnacentral:rRNA from 1 species
CCCUUAGAUGUUCUGGGCUGCACACGUGCUACACUGGCAGGUUCAGCGAGCUUCAUGCCCUGAUCUGAAAGGAAUGGGAAAUCUUUUCAAAACCUGCCGUGCUUGGGAUAGAUGUUUGCAAUUAUUCAUCUUCAACGAGGAUUGCCUUGUAAGCGCACGUCAUCAGCGUGCAUUGAAUACGACCCUGUAUUCUGUACACACCGCCGUCGCUCCUACCGAUUGAAGUUUUCGGUGAGUUGACAGGAGGAUUUUUUUGAAACUGGUUCGCCAGUGGAUUUUAGAUCCAAAUGCCAACGAAUCGAUGGCUUUAGAGGAAGGAGAAGUCGUAACA